rnacentral:tRNA from 1 species
GCACUGGUGGUUCAGUGGUAGAAUUCUCGCCUUCCAUGUGGGAGACCCAGGUUCGAUUCCUGGCCAGUACA